rnacentral:rRNA from 1 species
GACGAACGCUGGCGGCGUGCUUAACACAUGCAAGUCGAACGGAAAGGCCUCUUUCGGGGGGUACUCGAGUGGCGAACGGGUGAGUAACACGUGAGUAACCUGCCCUUGACUUUGGGAUAACUUCAGGAAACUGGGGCUAAUACCGGAUAGGAGCUCCUGCUGCAUGGUGGGGGUUGGAAGUUUCGGCGGUUGGGGAUGGACUCGCGGCUUAUCAGCUUGUUGGUGGGGUAGUGGCUUACCAAGGCUUUGACGGGUAGCCGGCCUGAGAGGGUGACCGGCCACAUUGGGACUGAGAUACGGCCCAGACUCCUACGGGAGGCAGCAGUGGGGAAUAUUGCACAAUGGGUGGAAGCCUGAUGCAGCAACGCCGUGUGCGGGAUGACGGCCUUCGGGUUGUAAACCGCUUUCGCUCAUGACGAAGCUUUGUGUGACGGUAGUGGGUAAAGAAGCACCGGCUAACUACGUG